rnacentral:misc_RNA from 1 species
AUUCCUUGCAUAAGUCCCCACCAGGACCUUCGCCUCUAUCUCCAUCACCUCCUUACUCUUCAAAUUCAGCUUCACAGAAUCCGGUGGCUGCACGUGCACGUCCACGUUAAGACAUGCUCGCGUCUUAACCGAACGAUGAAUAUCCACCGACGGGGUAGAAAGAGAGAUCGGACGGUUGAGAAAGAGCCUGAUUGACCCCAUUUUCCCUAUAUUAUGAUUAAAUUUGAAGAAAUUUGUCCUGUCUUUGACGCUUUGUGGGUAUUGAGUUUAUAUAGGAAAAUUAUCCCUCUUUUUUCAAUUGGGGGAGA